AACCCCGUGCUGUGAACAUUAUUCUGAGACAUAGACAAAAGGUGGAGCUUUGCUGGAAGCAGGGUAUUACCGAAUGGUGUAACAUUGAAGCCGUUGUGCUUAAGUGGAGACACCGGUACAUAUGUGUGGAUCCUAAACCUCGCAAGAUGCACAAACUCGUUGAACGCUUGUGCAACAGGAGAAAGAAUGGCUAACUUCCCAGGAAGAAGAACAGUAUCUGAAUAUCUGCACAAAUAUUAAUUAAUAUAUCCUUGCUACAAUUAGCAUGCCUAUAUAGCACUUGUGAAUGUGUUUUGUACAUGUUUUAGCUAAACAAACUAAACAAAGUUUUAUUUAUAUUAUAAUAACAAUAUCUGAGGGCUGAGGCCAGAUCAAGAUGAUUAGUUGCUCUUUGUUUGGUGCUUUGUACAUGUAAAUGAUGAAGUGAAGUGUUGAAGUGAUGUUAUUUUGAUGGUUUCAAACAAACUGCAUAGCUAAAAACUGGGAAAAAAUGUCCAC
ensembl:lncRNA